rnacentral:rRNA from 1 species
GAUGAACGCUGGCGGCGUGCCUAAUACAUGCAAGUCGAGCGAACGGACGAGAAGCUUGCUUCUCUGAUGUUAGCGGCGGACGGGUGAGUAACACGUGGAUAACCUACCUAUAAGACUGGGAUAACUUCGGGAAACCGGAGCUAAUACCGGAUAAUAUUUUGAACCGCAUGGUUCAAAAGUGAAAGACGGUCUUGCUGUCACUUAUAGAUGGAUCCGCGCUGCAUUAGCUAGUUGGUAAGGUAACGGCUUACCAAGGCAACGAUGCAUAGCCGACCUGAGAGGGUGAUCGGCCACACUGGAACUGAGACACGGUCCAGACUCCUACGGGAGGCAGCAGUAGGGAAUCUUCCGCAAUGGGCGAAAGCCUGACGGAGCAACGCCGCGUGAGUGAUGAAGGUCUUCGGAUCGUAAAACUCUGUUAUUAGGGAAGAACAUAUGUGUAAGUAACUGUGCACAUCUUGACGGUACCUAAUCAGAAAGCCACGGCUAACUACGUGCCAGCAGCCGCGGUAAUACGUAGGUGGCAAGCGUUAUCCGGAAUUAUUGGGCGUAAAGCGCGCGUAGGCGGUUUUUUAAGUCUGAUGUGAAAGCCCACGGCUCAACCGUGGAGGGUCAUUGGAAACUGGAAAACUUGAGUGCAGAAGAGGAAAGUGGAAUUCCAUGUGUAGCGGUGAAAUGCGCAGAGAUAUGGAGGAACACCAGUGGCGAAGGCGACUUUCUGGUCUGUAACUGACGCUGAUGUGCGAAAGCGUGGGGAUCAAACAGGAUUAGAUACCCUGGUAGUCCACGCCGUAAACGAUGAGUGCUAAGUGUUAGGGGGUUUCCGCCCCUUAGUGCUGCAGCUAACGCAUUAAGCACUCCGCCUGGGGAGUACGACCGCAAGGUUGAAACUCAAAGGAAUUGACGGGGACCCGCACAAGCGGUGGAGCGUGUGGUUUAAUUCGAAGCAACGCGAAGAACCUUACCAAAUCUUGACAUCCUUUGACAACUCUAGAGAUAGAGCUUUCCCCUUCGGGGGACAAAGUGACAGGUGGUGCAUGGUUGUCGUCAGCUCGUGUCGUGAGAUGUUGGGUUAAGUCCCGCAACGAGCGCAACCCUUAAGCUUAGUUGCCAUCAUUAAGUUGGGCACUCUAAGUUGACUGCCGGUGACAAACCGGAGGAAGGUGGGGAUGACGUCAAAUCAUCAUGCCCCUUAUGAUUUGGGCUACACACGUGCUACAAUGGACAAUACAAAGGGCAGCGAAACCGCGAGGUCAAGCAAAUCCCAUAAAGUUGUUCUCAGUUCGGAUUGUAGUCUGCAACUCGACUACAUGAAGCUGGAAUCGCUAGUAACCGUAGAUCAGCAUGCUACGGUGAAUACGUUCCCGGGUCU